GAUAUUCUUUAUGCAUUCAAAGUAAUCUGAGAGGAAGGAUACACACACAUACCAUUGCAUGAGAUCAGUUUGAUUUCUCAUCUUAUCUGGGUAGAGCCACUGGGAAGAGAAUGGGCUUAUUCUCCUCAGUUAAUGUCCCUGUAAUUUGAAAACUGAAUGAAGAUAAAAUUGAGAUCACAGGACUGCUUUUACAAUAGAAUAUUCAAUCCUUCUGUUUGCUACAAAAGCAACCAGAACCUUGCACAUCAGAGGACUAAAGCCCUUUAUCAAUUUUAGAGAUGUUCUUCUGGUGAAUGGGAAAACCCAAUAAUUUACUAUAAAUGCAUAUUUCAGAUUCCCUAUCUUGUCUGAGAGACAUAUCUUGUUUGUGUCUCUUUCGGAAUUAUCUUACUUCUCUUGUUCUAUAAGUUAUACAGGCUUUCUAAACCCUAUUGCAACAGUAAUUCACUAAAUUCAAACUUCUACAGAUUUUCCAGCUUGCUAAGAAACUUAUUUGUAUAUAAACCUCUUCUGCCCAUCUACCCUCUCCCCUUUUCAAUAAUGUGCAGGAAGUCUUGACAAUUGACAUCCAUAAAGGAUCCAAAGAUGAUGAUCAUAUCCUGCAAUGUGACCUUUCUAUGUGAUGAAUGAGAAAAUAUUGUAGAAUGAUGCCAUAAACCAAUCUUUGCUUGAUUAAUGUUGCAUAGAAAGAAAAGGUAAAAUUUUGCGCCCCCCCAAAAAACCAAAAAAGAAAAAAGCAUAAAUAUUUAUCUACAAAAAGAAUCAUAGCCAAUAGUAUGUAAUGACUCUUUUCCUUCAGUACAUAAUUCUGUAAUACCAAACUCAAGGAAAAAUAACCAUGUAAAGAGAGAGGAAAGGGCAUAUGAGGAAAAAUUGCAAAAAUGUAGAGAAACACUAUCAGUUCAGGUCAAAGUGUAUUUCCUGAUUUUCAGGCCAAAACAAAAUAAAUAAAUAAAUAA
rnacentral:misc_RNA from 1 species